rnacentral:rRNA from 1 species
AUUGAACGCUGGCGGCAUGCUUUACACAUGCAAGUCGAACGGCAGCACGGGUGCUUGCACCUGGUGGCGAGUGGCGGACGGGUGAGUAAUACAUCGGAACGUAUCCUGAAGUGGGGGAUAACGCAUCGAAAGAUGUGCUAAUACCGCAUAUACUCUGAGGAGGAAAGUAGGGGAUCGAAAGACCUUAUGCUUUUGGAGCGGCCGAUGUCUGAUUAGCUAGUUGGUAAGGUAAUGGCUUACCAAGGCAACGAUCAGUAGUUGGUCUGAGAGGACGACCAGCCACACUGGGACUGAGACACGGCCCAGACUCCUACGGGAGGCAGCAGUGGGGAAUUUUGGACAAUGGGCGCAAGCCUGAUCCAGCAAUGCCGCGUGAGUGAAGAAGGCCUUCGGUUGUAAGUACUCUUUCUAGUUGAGAAGAAAGAUUAGUAACUAAUAAUUAGUAAU